UAGGGAAUCUUCGGCAAUGGACGAAAGUCUGACCGAGCAACGCCGCGUGAGUGAAGAAGGUUUUCGGUUCGUAAAACUCUGUUGUUAGUGAAGAACAAGGACGUUAGUAACUGAACGUCCCUUGACGGUAUCUAACCAGAAAGCCACGGCUAACUACGUGCCAGCAGCCGCGGUAAUACGUAGGUGGCUAGCGUUGUCCGGAUUUAUUGGGCGUAAAGCGAGCGCAGGCGGUUUCUUAAGUCUGAUGUGAAAGCCCCCGGUUCAACCGGGGAGGGUCAUUGGAAACUGGGAGACUUGAGUGCAGAAGAGGAGAGUGGAAUUCCAUGUGUAGCGGUGAAAUGCGUAGAUAUAUGGAGGAACACCAGUGGCGAAGGCGGCUCUCUGGUCUGUAACUGACGCUGAGGCUCGAAAGCGUGGGGAGCAAACAGG
rnacentral:rRNA from 1 species